AACGAACGCUGGCGGCAGGCCUAACACAUGCAAGUCGAGCGAGGACUUCGGUCCUAGCGGCGGACGGGUGAGUAACGCGUGGGAACGUGCCCCUUGGUACGGAAUAGCCCCGGGAAACUGGGAGUAAUACCGUAUGAGCUCUACGGCGGGAAGAUUUAUGGCCAAGGGAUCGGCCCGCGUUGGAUGAGGUAGGUGGUGGGGUAAUGGCCUACCAAGCCGACGAGCCAUAGCUGGUUUGAGAGGAUGAUCAGCCACACUGGGACUGAGACACGGCCCAGACUCCUACGGGAGGCAGCAGUGGGGAAUCUUAGACAAUGGGAGCAAGCCUGAUCUAGCCAUGCCGCGUGAGCGAUGAAGGCCUUAGGGUUGUAAAGCUCUUUCAGCUGGGAAGAUAAUGACUGUACCAGCAGAAGAAGCCCCGGCUAACUCCGUGCCAGCCGCCGCUGUAAGAC
rnacentral:rRNA from 1 species